rnacentral:rRNA from 1 species
GAUGAACGCUGGCGGCGUGCCUAAUACGUGCAAGUCGAGCGAACGGACGGGAAGCUUGCUUCUCUGAUGUUAGCGGCGGACGGGUGAGUAACACGUUGAUAACCUACCUAUAAGACUGGGAUAACUUCGGGAAACCGGGGCUAAUACCGGAUAAUAUUUUGAACCGCAUUGUUCAAAAGUGAAAGACGGUCUUGCUGUCACUGAUAGAUGGAUCCGCGUUGCAUUAGCUAGUUGGGAAGGGAACGGGUUACCAAGGCAACGAUGCAUAGACGACCUGAAAGGGUGGCCGGCCAAAAGGGAACGGAGACACGGUCCAGACUCCUUGGGGAGGCAGCAGUAGGGAAUCUUACGCAAUGGGCGAAAGCCUGACGGAGCAACGCGGCGUGAGUGAUGAAGGCCUUCGGCUCGUAAAACUCUGUUAUUAGGGAAGAACAUAUGUGUAAGUAACUGUGAAAAUCUUGACGGUACCUAAUCAGAAAGCCACGGCUAACUACGUG